AUGCAUCACAUCUCUACGGCGGCUUGGCAAACAGUGACUUCGGUGAGAGCAUGGUGGAACAACAACCUUCAGAUUCGGCUUGGAUCCCCUAAAGCGCUCGCCUCCCUGAUGAUGCUCAUCUCAUGGGAGAUAUGGACGGAGCGUAAUGCCAGGGUCUUCAGAAACACGGCCAUCCCUUCCACGGUUCUUAUCAGUAAGAUCAAAGCGGAGGUGUCUCUUUGGGCGUUGGCGGGUGCGAAGCACAUGAGUGUUGUAAUGCCGCGAGAGUAG
rnacentral:rRNA from 1 species